CCUACGGGGGGCAGCAGUGAGGAAUAUUGGACAAUGGUCGGAAGACUGAUCCAGCCAUGCCGCGUGCAGGAAGACGGCCUUAUGGGUUGUAAACUGCUUUUGCAGGGGAAGAAUAAGGACUACGCGUAGUUUGAUGACGGUACUCUGCGAAUAAGCAUCGGCUAACUCCGUGCCAGCAGCCGCGGUAAUACGGAGGAUGCGAGCGUUAUCCGGAAUCAUUGGGUUUAAAGGGUCCGUAGGCGGGCUAAUAAGUCAGAGGUGAAAGCGCUCAGCUCAACUGAGCAACUGCCUUUGAAACUGUUAGUCUUGAAUGGUUGUGAAGUAGUUGGAAUGUGUAGUGUAGCGGUGAAAUGCUUAGAUAUUACACAGAACACCGAUAGCGAAGGCAUAUUACUAACAAUUAAUUGACGCUGAUGGACGAAAGCGUGGGGAGCGAACAGGAUUAGAUACCCUGGUAGUC
rnacentral:rRNA from 1 species